AAUCUUGCGCAAUGGGCGAAAGCCUGACGCAGCAACGCCGCGUGAACGAUGAAGGCCUUCGGGUCGUAAAGCUCUGUCCUUGGGGAAGAAGGUCUUCGGACUUGACGGUACCUAAGGAGGAAGCCCCGGCUCACUACGUGCCAGCAGCCGCGGUAAUACGUAGGGGGCAAGCGUUGUCCGGAAUUAUUGGGCGUAAAGGGUGCGUAGGCGGCCUUUUAAGUCAGAUGUGAAAGCCCACGGCUUAACCGUGGGACUGCAUUUGAAACUGGAGGGCUUGAGUAUCGGAGAGGGUAGUGGAAUUCCCAGUGUAGCGGUGGAAUGCGUAGAUAUUGGGAGGAACACCAGUGGCGAAGGCGACUACCUGGACGAAAACUGACGCUGAGGCACGAAAGCUAGGGGAGCAAAC
rnacentral:rRNA from 1 species